GAUGAACGCUGGCGGCGUGCCUAAUACAUGCAAGUCGAGCGAAUGAUGAGGAGCUUGCUCCUCUGAUUUAGCGGCGGACGGGUGAGUAACACGUGGGUAACCUGCCAGUAAGAUGGGGAUAACUCCGGGAAACCGGGGCUAAUACCGAAUAAUAAAAGAGGAAGCAUUUCUUCUUUUUGAAAGUUGGUUUCGGCUAACACUUACAGAUGGGCCCGCGGCGCAUUAGCUAGUUGGUGAGGUAACGGCUCACCAAGGCGACGAUGCGUAGCCGACCUGAGAGGGUGAUCGGCCACACUGGGACUGAGACACGGCCCAGACUCCUACGGGAGGCAGCAGUAGGGAAUCUUCGGCAAUGGGCGAAAGCCUGACCGAGCAACGCCGCGUGAGCGAGGAAGGCCUUCGGGUCGUAAAGCUCUGUUGUCAGGGAAGAACAAGUACGAGAGUAACUGCUCGUACCUUGACGGUGCCUGACCAGAAAGCCACGGCUAACUACGUGCCAGCCGCCGCGGUAAGAC
rnacentral:rRNA from 1 species